AGCGAACGCUGGCGGCAGGCCUAACACAUGCAAGUCGAGCGCCCCGCAAGGGGAGCGGCAGACGGGAGAGUAACACGUGGGAACGUACCCUUCAGUUCGGAACAACCCAGGGAAACUUGGGCUAAUACCGAAUACGUCCGUAAGGAGAAAGAUUUAUCGCUGAAGGAUCGGCCCGCGUCUGAUUAGCUUGUUGGUGAGGUAACGGCUCACCAAGGCGACGAUCAGUAGCUGGUCUGAGAGGAUGAUCAGCCUCACUGGGACUGAGACACGGCCCAGACUCCUACGGGAGGCAGCAGUGGGGAAUAUUGGACAAUGGGCGCAAGCCUGAUCCAGCCAUGCCGCGUGGGUGAUGAAGGCCCUAGGGUUGUAAAGCCCUUUCGGCGGGGAAGAUAAUGACGGUACCCGCAGAAGAAGCCCCGGCUAACUUCGUGCCAGCAGCCGCGGUAAUACGAAGGGGGCUAGCGUUGCUCGGAAUCACUGGGCGUAAAGCGCACGUAGGCGGCUUUUUAAGUCGGAGGUGAAAUCCUGGAGCUCAACUCCAGAACUGCCUUCGAUACUGAGA
rnacentral:rRNA from 1 species